CCUACGGGAGGCAGCAGUGAGGAAUAUUGGUCAAUGGACGAGAGUCUGAACCAGCCAAGUAGCGUGAAGGAUGACGGCCCUAUGGGUUGUAAACUUCUUUUAUAAAGGAAUAAAACGAGGCACGUGUGCCUUUUUGCAUGUACUUUAUGAAUAAGGAUCGGCUAACACCGUGCCAGCCGCCGCGGUAAUACGGAGGAUCCGAGCGUUAUCCGGAUUUAAUGGGUUUAACGGGAGCGUAGAUGGGUUGUUAAGUCAGUUGGGAAAGUUUGUGGCUUAAACGUAAAAUUGCAAUUGAUACUGGCAGUCUUGAGUACAGUUGAGGUAGGCGGAAUUCGUGGUGUAGCGGUGAAAUGCUUAGAUAUAACGAAGAACCCCGAUUGCGAAGGCAGCUUACUAAGCUGUGACUGACAUUGAUGCUCGAAAGUGUGGGUAUCAAACAGGAUUAGAUACCCCUGUAGUC
rnacentral:rRNA from 1 species